rnacentral:tRNA from 1 species
UGGGCUGUAGCUCUGUGGUAGAGCACUUGCCUAGUAUGUGUGAGGCACUGGGUUCAAUCCUCAGCAUCACAU